UACGUAGGGUGCAAGCGUUAAUCGGAAUUACUGGGCGUAAAGCGUGCGCAGGCGGUUUUGUAAGUUCUGUCGUGAAAUCCCCGGGCUCAACCUGGGAAUUGCGAUGGAGACUGCAAGGCUAGAAUCUGGCAGAGGGGGGUAGAAUUCCACGUGUGAGCAGUGAAAAUGCGUAGAGAUGUGGAGGAACACCGAUGGCGAAGGCAGCCCCCUGGGUCAAGAUUGACGCUCCAUGCACGAAAGCGUGGG
rnacentral:rRNA from 1 species